rnacentral:rRNA from 1 species
AUUGAACGCUGGCGGCAUGCCUUACACAUGCAAGUCGAACGGUAACAGGUCUUCGGAUGCUGACGAGUGGCGAACGGGUGAGUAAUACAUCGGAACGUGCCCAGACGUGGGGGAUAACGAGGCGAAAGCUUUGCUAAUACCGCAUACGAUCUAAGGAUGAAAGCAGGGGACCGCAAGGCCUUGUGCGUUUGGAGCGGCCGAUGGCAGAUUAGGUAGUUGGUGGGAUAAAAGCUUACCAAGCCGACGAUCUGUAGCUGGUCUGAGAGGACGACCAGCCACACUGGGACUGAGACACGGCCCAGACUCCUACGGGAGGCAGCAGUGGGGAAUUUUGGACAAUGGGCGAAAGCCUGAUCCAGCAAUGCCGCGUGCAGGAUGAAGGCCUUCGGGUUGGAAACUGCUUUUGUACGGAACGAAAAGGCUCUGGCUAAUACCUGGGGCACAUGACGGUACCGUAAGAAUAAGCACCGGCUAACUACG